AUGGGCGGUUCCCUGCUGAUGCCGCUGCUGAGCAGCGUGGCCGCCAAGGCCGCCGACGCGCUGGUGGGCGAGCUGCUGCGGGCGUGGGGGCUGGACGCGGCCCGCCGGAAGCUGGAGCUCCACCUCUCGGCCGUCCAACACAUCCUGCUCGACGCCGAGGCCAAGAGCCGCACCAACCCCGCCGUCCGCCGCCUACCAAGCCGACGACGUCCUCGACGACUUCCGCUACGAGGCGCUGCGCCGCCGUGCCGCCGCCCAGAUCCGCCGCCGCUCCGCGGCACGCAAGGUGAUGAGCUACCUCACCGUCAAUAG
rnacentral:rRNA from 1 species